CAACAGCCCUAACCUUGCCUUGGUUGUGCGUAAAACCAGAGCAGGUCAGGCUCUGUCUGUGUUCUGCAUGGUGGUGCCCCAACCCACAUCGUCUGCAGCAGGGCUGAUGCCUCUGGGGCUUGCCUUGGAGUGGCCACCUGCCUGCAGGGCUACUAGUGCCCUCAGGGUUUUGGGCACCCUGAAGAGAGGUGAACCUACUUGUCUGUGGCUCAGUGUUUCAUGGCCUGUGCAAAGCAUGGAGCAGAGGGCUCGUGGCCUCUUUUGGAUGAACGUUUCUUCUGUGCUUGCCUAAGGAGAGCUGCAGGACAGACUUUGGGAAGCAUGUCUUUCUAAGGAGCAUUGUGCUUCCUUAGUCUAUCCAUGAACAAAAUGCACUUUUGUUAUGUGACUGCCACAAACUCCUUCUGUCAUUGCGGUUGCAGUCCCUGGAGCGUGCUUGUCCCUGCUAUUUUAACCUGCAUGUGUGAUCUCCCUUCGUGAGCCACCUCUGUUAAGAUCACGGGUAUCUCCAGAACGGCCCCAUCCUGGCUCUUAGGCUGAAAAUGGUCCCAGCACCCUUGUCCCAGCACAGAGGAGCUGGGGGCAUCUCACGAGGUGGCGCUGUCAAAUCAGGAAUGCAAAGCUGUCACCAGAAACUGGUUUGCACAGCAGCCUGGCUCUUGAUCUCGUGUCUCACAUUGGAGGUCGCAGUAGAUGGGUUAGUGACUCAAUAGGCACAAUUAAUACAGGGACGCCUUCUUUCCAGGGUGGAUAAUCCUGCCUCAUCCGCCUGAGUGAGAAAUGAGGAGCAGCCUCUGGUUUUACAGCCGUCCCAGGGCGGACAGCGGUGUAGACAACAGUGCGUCUUGCGGAUUAAUCACAGGGCUGAUGUCAGGAGCCCUGAGUCACGGCCUGGGGAGCCUGGCACUGGCUCGCUCUGUGACCCUGAGCGAGAGAGCUCAUCGCUCUACUACACCGUCCAAAGAGGACAGUCGUGUUGCUAUACCGGGUGGGGAGGGAUACGACCGACGCAGGGAUGCGUGUUAGAGCUCACGCCUGUACUGCCUCUGCAAACGCGUGUGCUCUGGUGAAGUCAGCGUCCCGUCACACAGCAAGGCACCAGCUCGACUGCAGCAACUCAAGCUGUUAAAAACCUCCUUACAGAGCCGUGCGUACGUCCACCCUGUGCCCACAAGGACGGCGAGGCUUUCUAGCUUCUCCUCGCGGCUGUUUUUCUUGGGCUUCCCCUGGAUGCUUUUGAAGGAGAGCAUGUGCUGCUUCUCAGCAGGGUCCCCUGCUUACUGAAGACGCCCUGCUUCUGCAGAAGGACUACAUGCAUGCCAGGCAGAGCCUGCAAGAGCCCAGGUAAUUGCCAGCCUGCUCUGCCUUCGAAAGGCCUCUUGGUGACCAGCCCUUGGCUACCCUUGACCCUGGCAGCAUCUUCAAAGGGAGCAUGGGCACGCUGCGGAGCCUGCAAUGUUUGCUCGCUUAUCGGGUGAGCUGGUAUCGCCUCCCUGCCUUGGGGGGUUUCAUCAGCCUCCUGCAGCACUCGCGGGGAGACCAGUCGGCCGCCGCUGCUUG